rnacentral:rRNA from 1 species
GUGGGGAAUAUUGCACAAUGGGGGAAACCCUGAUGCAGCGACGCCGCGUGAAGGACGACGUAUUUCGGUAUGUAAACUUCUAUCAGCAGGGAAGAACAAGUGACGGUACCUGACUAAGAAGCCCCGGCUAACUACGUGCCAGCAGCCGCGGUAAUACGUAGGGGGCAAGCGUUAUCCGGAUUUACUGGGUGUAAAGGGAGCGUAGGCGGCGCGUCAAGUCAGAAGUGAAAGCCCGGGGCUCAACUCCGGGACUGCUUUUGAAACUGUCGUGCUUGAUUUCAGGAGAGGUAAGCGGAAUUCCUAGUGUAGCGGUGAAAUGCGUAGAUAUUAGGAGGAACACCAGUGGCGAAGGCGGCUUACUGGACUGACAAUGACGCUGAGGCUCGAAAGCGUGGGGAGCAAACAGGAUUAGAAACCCUAGUAGUCC